AGAACGAACGCUGGCGGCAUGCCUAACACAUGCAAGUCGAACGAACCCUUCGGGGUUAGUGGCGCACGGGUGCGUAACGCGUGGGUAUCUGCCCUUUGCUUCGGAACAACUCAGGGAAACUUGAGCUAAUACCGGAUGAUGUCGCAAGACCAAAGAUUUAUCGGCAAAGGAUGAGCCCGCGUAGGAUUAGCUUGUUGGUGGGGUAAAAGCUCACCAAGGCGACGAUCCUUAGCUGGUCUGAGAGGAUGAUCAGCCACACUGGGACUGAGACACGGCCCAGACUCCUACGGGAGGCAGCAGGUGGGGAAUAUUGGACAAGUGGGCGAAAGCCUGAUCCAGCAAUCGCCGCGUGAGUGAGUGGAAGGUCCGUUAGGUUAGUAAAGUCCUUACGUUUACCCGGGAUGAAUAAUGACAGGUAACCGGAGAAGUAAGCCGUACCGGCUAACCGUCCG
rnacentral:rRNA from 1 species